rnacentral:rRNA from 1 species
GAUGAACGCUGGCGGCGUGCCUUAUACAUGCAAGUCGAGUGGGUUUAGACCCACGGCAAACGGGUGAGUAACACGUCGGUACCUUCCUUGUCACAGGAAUAACCCUCCGAAAGGAGGGCUAAUACCUGAUGUGAUCGCAAGAUUAAAGGGUAUCCGCAAGGAUUACCGGACAAGAAGAGGCCUGCGGCCUAUCAGCUAGUUGGCGGGGUAAAUGCCCACCAAGGCUAUGACGGGUAGCUGGUCCUAUGAGGAUGAUCAGUCACAUGGGCACUGAGACACGGGCCCGACUCCUACGGGAGGGAGCAGUAGGGAAUUUUGCGCAAGGGGCGAGAGCCUGACGCAGCGACGCCGCGUGCGAGAUGAAGGCCUUCGGGUCGUAAACCGCUUUUAUAAGGGACGAACUUUGACGGUACCUUAUGAAUAAGAGGUUGCUAACUCUGUG